GUUUCAGUCAUUGGUGAUUCUGCAGUUGGACUGUGAGGGGGUGUUGGGGUGGGGGGUGGUGUGUGUGUGUAGCACUUCAUUGCGUGGAGAAAGGAAAAGAUACUUUUGAUAACUGACAGGCAGCUUUUCUCUGCUUUCGUGUCAAAAGGGAAGAAGGGAGUUUGGAGAGGGAAAGGAAUUCUCUGUAACACUAAGCUCUCUUCCACAAAAACAGAGGUACAGAAUGUGUAAUAAUUUACAGAAUUUCUAGACUUCAAGGAUCUGAUUUUUUUAAAUUUACUUUUAUUUUUUCAGGUUGAGACUGAGCUAAAGUUAAUCUGCGGCGACGUUCUGGAUGUACUGGACAAACACCUCAUUCCAGCAGCUACCACUGGCAAGUCCAAGGUUUUCUAUUAUGAAAUGCAUUUAAUAUUAUUUUCCUUAUUAAAUAUAACCAAAAAUCCCACAGAAAUUAACAAGAGGAGGAGCCUCUAAAUAUCAACAAAAUUAUCACUUGAUAGACUAGAAUUAAACAAGCAAAUGAUUCUAAGAAAUGGCACAAGUGUAUUCAUCAUAAAAUAAAAUUUCUACAUGAAACAUUCA